UACGUAGGGGGCAAGCGUUGUCCGGAUUCAUUGGGCGUAAAGAGCGUGUAGGCGGCCAGGUAGGUCGGUUGUGAAAACUGGAGGCUCAACCUUCAGACGUCGACCGAAACCAUCUGGCUAGAGUCCGAGAGAGGAGAGUGGAAUUCCUGGUGUAGCGGUGAAAUGCGCAGAUAUCAGGAAGAACACCCGUGGCGAAAGCGGCUCUCUGGAACGGUACUGACGCUGAGACGCGAAAGCGUGGGGAGCGAACAGG
rnacentral:rRNA from 1 species